GAUGAACGCUGGCGGCGUGCCUAAUACAUGCAAGUCGAGCGAACAGACGAGGAGCUUGCUCCUCUGACGUUAGCGGCGGACGGGUGAGUAACACGUGGAUAACCUACCUAUAAGACUGGGAUAACUUCGGGAAACCGGAGCUAAUACCGGAUAAUAUAUUGAACCGCAUGGUUCAAUAGUGAAAGACGGUGUUGCUGUCACUUAUAGAUGGAUCCGCGCCGCAUUAGCUAGUUGUUAAGGUAACGGCUUACCAAGGCAACGAUGCGUAGCCGACCUGAGAGGGUGGUCGGCCACACUGGAACUGGGACACGGUCAAGGCGCCUACGAGAGGCAGCAGAAGGGAAUCUGCCGCAAUGGGCGAAAGCCUGGCGGAGCAGCGCCGCGUGAGUGAUGGAAGUCUUCGGAUCGUAAAACUCUGUUAUUAGGGAUGAACAAAUGUGUAAGUUACUAUGCACGUCUUGACGGUACCUAAUCAGGAAGCCACGGCUAACUACGUG
rnacentral:rRNA from 1 species